CACACUGUCAACGAUGUGCACUAGGUGCUGGGGCGGACGCUUCAGUGCCGGAGCUAACGCGGUAAGUGCACCGCCUGGGGAGUAUGCUCGCAAGGGUGAAACUCAAAGGAAUUGACGGGG
rnacentral:rRNA from 1 species